AUGCAGUCGAACGGGCUGUUUAUGCAGCCAGUGGCGGACGGGUGAGUAACACGUAGGUGACCUACCCCAAAGUCUGGGACAACUAGGAGAAAUCUUAGCUAAUCCUGGAUGUGGACAUCUACUUUGGUGGAUGUUUAAAGCUUCGGCGCUUUGGGAUGGGCCUGCGGCGCAUCAGGUAGUUGGUGGGGUAAUGGCCUACCAAGCCGACGACGCGUAGCUGGUCUGAGAGGACGAUCAGCCACAGGGGUACUGAGACACGGACCCCACUCCUACGGGAGGCAGCAGUUAGGAAUCUUCCGCAAUGGGCGAAAGCCUGACGGAGCGAUACCGCUUGAAGGACGAAGCCCUUCGGGGUGUAAACUUCUGAACUCGGGACGAUAAUGACGGUACCGAGGUAAUAGCACCGGCUAACUCCGUGCCAGCAGCCGCGGUAAUACGGAGGGUGCGAGCGUUACCCGGAUUUACUGGGUGUAAAGGGCGUGUAGGCGGUCUCUCAAGUCCGAUGCUAAAGACCGAAGCUCAACUUCGGGGGUGCGUUGGAUACUGUGAGGCUAGACGGUCGGAGAGGGUAGCGGAAUUUCCGGAGUAGCGGUGAAAUGCGCAGAUACCGGAAGGAACGCCGAUAGCGAAAGCAGCUACCUGGACGAUUUGUGACGCUGAGGCGCGAAAGCGUGGGGAGCAAACCGGAUUAGAUACCCGGGUAGUCCACGCCCUAAACGAUGAGUGCUGGGUGUCCGACAUCUGUUGGGUGCCGUAGCUAACGCGUUAAGCACUCCACCUGGGAAGUACGGUCGCAAGACUGAAACUCAAAGGAAUUGACGGGGGCCCGCACAAGCGGUGGAGCAUGUGGUUUAAUUCGAAGCAACGCGCAGAACCUUACCAGGUCUUGACAUCCUGGGAACCCUGGUGAAAGCCGGGGGGUGCCCGCAAGGGAGCCCAGAGACAGGUGCUGCAUGGUCGUCGUCAGCUCGUGUCGUGGAGAUGUUGG
rnacentral:rRNA from 1 species